GGGCCUGUAGCUCAGUCGGCAGAGCAUCGGACUUUUAAUCCGCGGGUCGAGGGUUCGAUCCCCUCCGGGCCCA
rnacentral:tRNA from 2 species